AUGAUGCACAUGUAUCCAUAUGUCACCAUUGUACAUGUGAUCUGUAUCCAUAUGAGGCUGUUGCCUUUUCUUCUUUUCCUUGCUGAUAUGAUGCCUUUCUUUGUAUCUGUGGUCACGAUGACUCCAGUCCAAAGCAGAGCCGAUGGCGAGCCCCACGAUCUCGGACCGGAUCCGACCCUACUUGACAUCCUUGUCAGCAGCAAAGCGACGGACACACAGAAUCGCGCGGCAUGGCACUCGAAAAAGAAAGAAUGUCUUCCUUUAAUCCUGUCAAAAAGAAAGAAUGUUUUUCCGCUGUUCUUUGCCACACCCACACGCGCACGCAUCGCCGCCCCGGCGACGAAAACCACCGCUCCUCCGUCAAUCCACGCCUUUCUCUAG
rnacentral:rRNA from 1 species